rnacentral:rRNA from 1 species
UGGGGAAUAUUGCGCAAUGGGGGAAACCCUGACGCAGCAACGCCGCGUGGGUGAAGAAGGCCUUCGGGUUGUAAAGCUCUGUCUUCUGGGACGAUAAUGACGGUACCAGAGGAGGAAGCCACGGCUAACUACGUGCCAGCAGCCGCGGUAAUACGUAGGUGGCAAGCGUUGUCCGGGUUUACUGGGCGUAAAGGGAGCGUAGGCGGAUAUUUAAGUCAGAUGUGAAAUACCCGAGCUGAACUUGGGUGCUGCAUGUGAAACUGGAUAUCUGGAGUGCAGGAGAGGAAAGUGGAAUUCCUAGUGUAGCAGUGAAAUGCGUAGAGAUUAGGAAGAACUCCAGUGGCGAAGGCGACUUUCUGGACUGUAACUGACGCUGAGGCUCGAAAGCGUGGGGAGCAAACA